AUCCAGCUGACGAGUCUGAAAUAAAACGAAACGCUCAUCCUGGAU
rfam:Schistosoma mansoni strain Puerto Rico chromosome 2, complete genome